rnacentral:rRNA from 1 species
UACGUAGGGUGCAAGCGUUGUCCGGAAUUAUUGGGCGUAAAGAGCUCGUAGGCGGUCUGUCGCGUCGGCUGUGAAAUCCCGGAGCUCAACUCCGGGUCUGCAGUCGAUACGGGCAACUGGAGUACUGCAGGGGAGACUGGAAUUCCUGGUGUAGCGGUGAAAUGCGCAGAUAUCAGGAGGAACACCGGUGGCGAAGGCGGGUCUCUGGGCAGUAACUGACGCUGAGGAGCGAAAGCAUGGGGGAGCGAACAGG